GUGUCAGCCGCCGCGGUAAUACAGAGGGCGCGAGCGUUGUCCGGAAUCACUGGGCGUAAAGGGCGCGUAGGUGGCCACUAUAAGGCCGCGGUGAAAGUUCGGGGCUCAACCCUGAAUCUGCCGCGGCGACUGUAGGGCUAGGGCACCGUAGAGGCAGAUGGAAUUCCGGGUGUAGCGGUGGAAUGCGUAGAGAUCCGGAAGAACACCGGUGGCGAAGGCGGUCUGCUGGGCGGUGAACUCGCAAGAGUUCAAUAGCCGACACUGAGGCGCGACAGCGUGGGGAGCAAACAGGAUUAGAAACCCUUGUAGUCC
rnacentral:rRNA from 1 species